rnacentral:lncRNA from 1 species
GACAUAUCCAAGGGAAAGAUGGUCACAGCUUUAGUCGGGAAGAUAUAUGAACAUAAUGUUGUCAUCAACUGGAAUAAUGCUAAGGUGGUUAGGCCAAUAUCUGACAGCUUUGGACUCAAUGUACUAGAAGCGAUCGAAAUAGAAAAAAGGAAGUCUUACUCCAAUAUUAUAAAUGACAACCCACCCACUGACUUAUCUGAAUCCUGGAAAUGGUGCGCUCUCCAUAAUUUAUAACAAGACUUUGUGCGCAAUACUUGGUGUGCAUAUUGGAUCUAAGGACGUUGUUGUACUCGCGCUAGACCUGCCAUAUCCUUUAUCUUCCCAGACUAAUAUGGCACCUUACACCAUAUGUUUAAUUCAUGUUUGUUACUAAUGUAAUGUGUGCAUUAUUCAUAACAUUAUUUUGUUCAACUUUGUAUAUUAGUCUUUGCAGUAUACUUUCCCAAAGUUAUGUGUAUGUUAAACCUGUGUCUGGCACAUUACUGAAAAAAUUUUUGUAAU